UCUGCUUAGGGAGGAGGCCUAAGCCACUAUGGAGGAGAGUAUGAAGGUUCCUUAGAAAACUAAUAAUACAUUUACCAUGUGAUCCAGCAAUCCCACUCCCGGGCAUUUAUCUGGAGGGAACUCUAAUUCGAAAAGACACAUGCACCCUAGUGU